rnacentral:rRNA from 1 species
UAGGGAGUCGCGCCUGCCCAGUGAUUAUUCAACGGCCGCAGUACUCUGACUGUGCAAAGGUAGCAUAAUCAUUUGCCUUAUAAUUGAAGGCUGGUAUGAAUGGUUUGACAAGAGUAAUACUGUCUCUCCAAAAUUUCUUAAAAUUUAAUUUUUAGGUGAAGAAUCCUAAGUAGAAUUAAUAGACAAGAAGACCCUAUCGAGCUUAAAAGAAAUAAGUAAAUUAACUUAUAUAUUUUAUAUAUUAUGCUUAAUAUUUUGGUUGGGGCGACUAAGGAACAUUUAAAGCUUCUUUAAAAAAAUAACUAUAAGAUCCAGUAUACUGAUUUAAAGAAUUAGUUACCGUAGGGAUAACAGCAUAAUCUUCUUCAAGAGUUCAUAUCGAAAAGAAGGUGACCUCGAUGUUGGACUAGAAUGUCCUGAAGGCGCAGAAG